rnacentral:rRNA from 1 species
AACGAACGCUGGCGGCAUGCCUAACACAUGCAAGUCGAACGAUGCUUUCGGGCAUAGUGGCGCACGGGUGCGUAACGCGUGGGAAUCUGCCCUUAGGUUCGGAAUAACAGUUAGAAAUGACUGCUAAUACCGGAUGAAGACGUUAAGUCCAAAGAUUUAUCGCCUGAGGAUGAGCCCGCGUAGGAUUAGCUAGUUGGUGUGGUAAAGGCGCACCAAGGCGACGAUCCUUAGCUGGUCUGAGGGGAUGAUCAGCCACACUGGGACUGAGACACGGCCCAGGCUCCUACGGGAGGCAGCAGUGGGGAAGAUUGGACAAUGGGCGCAAUCCUGAUCCAGCAAUGCCUCGUGAGUGAUGAAGGCCUUAGGGUUGUAAAGCUCUUUUACCCGUGAUGAUAAUGACAGUAGCGGGAGAAUCAGCCCCGGCUAACUCCGUGCCAGCCGCCGCAGUAACAC